rnacentral:rRNA from 1 species
AACAAACGCUGGCGGCGUGCCUAAUACAUGCAAGUCGAACGGGGAAAGCUUUCGGGUGAGUACUAGUGGCGCACGGGUGAGGAACGCGUGGAUAAUCUGCCUUAGAGUGGGGGAUAACUAGUCGAAAGAUUAGCUAAUACCGCAUAAGACCACGAGAGCUGCGGCUUUUGAGGUCAAAGGUUUUUCGCUCUAAGAUGAGUCCGCGUAAGAUUAGCUAGUUGGUGAGGUAACGGCUCACCAAGGCGACGAUCUUUAACUGGUCUGAGAGGAUGAUCAGUCACACUGGAACUGAGACACGGUCCAGACUCCUACGGGAGGCAGCAGUAGGGAAUAUUGCACAAUGGAGGAGACUCUGAUGCAGCGACGCCGCGUGAGUGAUGAAGGCCUUCGGGUCGUAAAGCUCUGUCGCAGGGGAAUAACACAAUGAAGGUACCCUGUAAGAAAGGAUCGGCUAACUUCGU